UGGGGAUGUUCCAGAGCCAUCUGGACACAUUCCUGUGCUCUGAAAUGACCCACUAUGGUCCAUUUCAGCCUGAACCAUCCUGGGAUUCUGUGAAACUGAAGCCAGCCAAGGACUGGAGAAGAGUUCCCAUUCCUUUGAAAUUCCAUCACCUUAGUCCUGGCUUGAGGGAUUGCUGGACUGCAACAGUAAUAGGCUGCUCAGCUCUCGGGAUGAGAGGACUCACCGCCUUGGAAUUACAGCUGGGAAAUGCUUUUGGAAAAACAGAAGAUGUGCUGGAGGAAGAUAGUGUUGUCUCUCUGGCCUGGCAGAAAUUGGGAAUUUCAGCCUCUGAUCAAUGACACGAUAUGAGACUGAGACUUGCAGAUAAAGGAAGUGAGUGACUCCUGUCUGAAAG